CACAAUAAGGUGGGAUCUGAAUCAAAUGUCAGUUAUUUGGUAACAGUUUUUAAAGAUGCUUCUGUGCAGUUCUUUCACCAAGAAAUGACAAGCCAACGAGUGAAAUGAAGACAGCAAUAUCAACAUUUCUGUACAUAAGCAAGUGAAAGCCAGUAUACCCGAAGUCUUACUACAAGAUACCUUCAGGUUUCCUCAUUUAAAAAAAAAAGAAAGAAAAGAAAAAGGCAAAGAAAAAUAUCCAGACCCCACAACAGGACUGUCUCCAUCACAGCACUUGAAAAGCAAAAUUAACCUCAAACAUAUGAGGGAUGCAGAUUUUAAUGAGCGGAUUAUAAUCAAUGGAAAGGAGGACCAGGAAAUAACCAGACCUUGAAAGAACACCUGCAUAUUUCAGCCACAUGCUGAGGGGUGCCAGCAGACAGACAUAAUCAGGUCCCUCAAGAGCCCCACAUAAGGAACUGCAGAGUGACCCUAGGCAGAAGGAUGCUCAGUUUUAAACUGCUUGGAUGAGAGUGCAGUGGCCGUUACAUGUUUUCAUUUCGGUUAAUAUUCAGAGAUACAUCUCUUACAAAUGCUUCAGAUGGAGGAAAGAACUCAAAGCUGGAGGGUGUGCUUCAGAAUACAAGUGGUUACAGAUGAUAUUGGGCAGGAGAGAAAGAGGAACAUUAAAUUUUUUUAAAAAAUUUAAAAAUAAAAAGUUAAGGUAUCAUUUCAAGCUGUUGACAUUCUGGUGGAGUCAAGUCACCCAAAAACUGUAACCAGUGUCACAGAUAAAGAAAGCCUCGUGUGUGCUUCUAACUAACCAACUAUUGCUCUUUUAUUUUUCUCACUUAACUGUUGAACUGUAUUUAACUGUGGAACAUGUUCAUAUAGUCUAUGUUCUGGGUUAGGUUUAACCUUAUCUGUGAGGGUGUGAUUAUACCAAAGGCUUCCUUCCAUUGGUAGACUAGCCCAUUCACCCAAAUAAGUCAAGUCAACACUGUGCCCAGAUGAAUGGUAUUAAAGACAGACUUGCCUAAAAGAAA